CUUGCGCAGAUUAGUAAAGCACUAAGAAUGUGAGAAGGGAAGGAUGCAAG
rnacentral:sRNA from 1 species